rfam:Triticum aestivum genome assembly, contig: Triticum_aestivum_CS42_TGACv1_scaffold_280945_3DS
CAACUAUUCCCUCUGUCCCAAAUUUCUUGUCUUAGAUUUGUCUAGAUACGGAUGUAUCUAAUACUAAAAUGUGACUUGAUACAUCUGUAUCUGGACAAAUCUAAGACAAGAAUUUUGGGACGGAGGCAGUACUUU